rnacentral:misc_RNA from 1 species
CGCACAUUGCGCCCCUCGGAAUUCCGGGGGGCAUGCCUGUCCGAGCGUCAUUACAACCCUCAAGCGUAGCUUGGUAUUGGGUCUCGCCCCCCGCCUAGGGGUGUACCCGAAAAGUAGCGGCGGUCCGGCGUGACUUUGGACGUAGUAAAUUUCUCCCGUCCUGAAAGCCCUCGCGCUGUGGCCGGCCAAAAACCCCUCGAUCUUUCCACGAUUGACCUCGGAUCAGGUAGGGAUACCCGCUGAACUUAA